UACGGAGGAUGCGAGCGUUAUCCGGAUUUAUUGGGUUUAAAGGGUGCGUAGGCGGUUUGAUAAGUCAGUGGUGAAAGUUUUCAGCUUAACUGGAAAAAUGCCAUUGAUACUGUCAGGCUAGAAUAUGGUUGCUGUGAGUGGAAUGUGUGGUGUAGCGGUGAAAUGCUUAGAUAUCACACAGAAUAUCGAUUGCGAAGGCAGCUCACAAAGCCAUUAUUGACGCUGAGGCACGAAAGUGUGGGGAUCAAACAGG
rnacentral:rRNA from 1 species